GGGGCUUCCCAGGUGACUCAGUGAUAAAGAAUCCGCCUGCCAAUGCAGGCAACACAAGAGAAACAAGUUCAAUCCCCAAAUCAGGAAGACCCCCUGGAGGAGAAAAUGGCAACCCGCUCUAGUAUUCUUGCCUGGAAAAACCCAUGGAGAGAGGAGCCUAGUCCACGGGGUUGCCAAGAGUCGGACAUGACUGAGCACGCAUGCACGCAUGCACUUUAUAAUAACAAUACCUGUGCACAGUGAACAAGACUUGGACAAUGCUUGCAAAGCCCCUGAGGACGCAUGGCUGAACACAGCACGCCUCUUGGGAUUGAGAAGGAGACAGAUGCUUGCCCUAGUCUUCUCCGGGGAAGUAGCCCUGAUGAAGAGCAGUUUGGGACCCCUGUAAGGAACCAUUGUUGGUCCUGAGGCUGUUUAUCCCAGGGACUGAUAGUGCAGCAGCCAUCUCUGGUUGAAGGAUGGCUUUACCUUAUUUUGGAACCAACAUGUGAAUUCCAUAAGGAAACAGGCGUUAUUCAGCCUCCCGUAGAGAACUUUUGAGCAAAUGGAGCCGUUCAAAAAAGAUCACGCUGCCUUAGAGCACAGCUCGUCAUCACUGAAAAUACUCAAGUGAAGGCAAGAGCAAGCGACAAAGAUGUCGGGCUGGGGAGAAGUUGGUGCAGCGUGGCCUUGAAUGCACUCCUUGUGCUGAAGACCGUGAUUCCGUGAAGAAGAGGGAGGUCCACAGCCCAUGCCCUGGACCACCAGGCCUUCAGCCUCCCUGGAACCAUGCAGAGUUUAUGGAAUUGUGGCAAUCAGACAGGGCCGCCUGCCAGGGAUUUUUCUUAUCCCGGUAACUCUGUUAGACCAGGAGAUGGACACUAAAUAAACUCACGCAGGGAAUUAAAGUCGUCCUCUUUGAAUCUAUUUGAAGUCAGACCUUUGAAGCAAGCUUUCUUCUCCCUGUUUCCUCUCUUUUUUUAUUUAAAAACAUUGUGUCAGGAGUGCCUUUUUGCUGUAAUUACCCCUGUCACUGCUGCUUGGGAUGGUUUUACUAACUGGAGAGCAAACCUUGCCAGGAGAGUGGAUGAUGGGCAGUUCUAAAGAGGACGAGGAAGCUCUUCAUCUGGGAGCUGCAGUGGCAGCUGGAUCCUCCAAUGACAGCCCUGACGUCCCCUGGAAUGUCUUCCUGAGAUGAGAGGUUACCCGUUCAAACAGAAACCUCUGAAUGCUAGUUUCUGGCAACGCUGUGCCGCUUCAAAGUGCAGGUUUGUGUGAUGGAGAGAGAAUCCUGUCAGAGUUAGGCUUCCAUCGUUGUUAAUUGAUGACUCACAGAGCGACCAGCCUGUUUUGCUGGAUGAGCAUCCGGGUUGAUUAUUAGAAAUUGCUUUCAUGGGAGCGAAUGGUACGGCAUCCUUAACACCAAGGGUGAGGCCCCCUGUAGAGUGUGUGGGGCUUUAGUCAGCUUAAUUUGACUUUCAUCAUAGUUAAAUGAGGCACAGGGGAGUUCAAAGGAAAUUUUGGUGCAGUCUACAAAGAUGCUCACCCAGACAGUCGGAUGUCAUGGUUUUCAGAGACGUGUCUUCAUGGCAUCAAAUCUGAAUGGGAUGAUAAGAAUCAUAUCCUUCAGAACUCCCCUGCAUGACCAAUUUUUGCCUUUCAUCCUGGUCACUGUGGACACAGCCCUAAAAUGGACUC
ensembl:lncRNA